rnacentral:rRNA from 1 species
CCUACGGGGAGCAGCAGUGAGGAAUAUUGGUCAAUGGACGAGAGUCUGAACCAGCCAAGUAGCGUGAAGGAUGACUGCCCUAUGGGUUGUAAACUUCUUUUAUAUGGGAAUAAAAUGUUCCACGUGUGGGAUUUUGUAUGUACCAUAUGAAUAAGGAUCGGCUAACUCCGUGCCAGCAGCCGCGGUAAUACGGAGGAUCCGAGCGUUAUCCGGAUUUAUUGGGUUUAAAGGGAGCGUAGGUGGAUUGUUAAGUCAGUUGUGAAAGUUUGCGGCUCAACCGUAAAAUUGCAGUUGAAACUGGCAGUCUUGAGUACAGUAGAGGUGGGCGGAAGUCGUGGUGUAGCGGUGAAAUGCUUAGAUAUCACGAAGAACUCCGAUUGCGAAGGCAGUUCACUGGACUGCAACUGACACUGAGGCUCGAAAGUGUGGGUAUCAAACAGGAUUAGAUACCCUUGUAGUC